CUGGAAGGGGACGUUGCACCUGUGUGGAAGAGCCUUGGAGAGUCUGGGGCAAGUGCGUGAGCUUCUCUUGAAGAAAAAAUUUCCUAAGUUACUCUGUUUUACUCCGUUCCUGUCUUGCUGAAUGCUUUCCUGGAGACUCCAGUAAGACACAGUCUGCAUUAUCACCAUGGAUGCCAGCCUUCAACCAUUUGAGGUGUUCACAGAGGCCCUGGUGCCUUGCUGAUUGUUGCUGUAGAGUCUGUGCCAACAUGUCCUUUCAGACUGCUCUAACAAAACGCCAGAGACUGGGUGGCUUAUAAAAACAAUCAUCUAUUUGUCACAGUUCUGGAGGCUGGGAAGUCCAAGAUCAAGGGGCUGGUAUGUUCAGUGUCUGGUGAAGGCUCACUUCCUGGUUCGUGGAUGGCACUCAUCUCCCUGUAACCUCACAUGGCAGACAAGGUGAGGCUGUUACCGGAAAGAUGUUACCAGAAUCUGGGUUCUUGUUCACCGAGCCGAAGAAUGAACUUCGAGAACACACGGGAGGCCAAGCAAGCCAAGUCUUUAUUACAGGAGAGCAAACAGCUCCCAGCACAGACUGGGAGGGGGAGGAAGAGUCUCCCUUUACAUUGUUCUACGGAGGUUUUUAUUUCUUAAGGAUGCGGGUACCAACGUGGGGUCUAGACAUUGUUCCUGUUUCUGAUUGGCCUUGUCCAGCUCCCUAUAGCCAGCCUUAUCCAAUAGGGGUCUUAGAGAUGAAUAUGCCCCCUAAGUUUUAUGGCUACUUUGUUCUUUCCCCUAGACUGCAAGUCGCCUUUCCUCUCAAUCCUUCCCCAUCAGUCAAGGGGUGAGUUAGAGGUUAACAUCCACCCACACGUAAAGCAGAUAUAUUUUCUAUUAACAACAAGGCCUGUGAAUGUUAUUUCCUGGAACGCCCAAAUCAUAGACAUUAAUCCACAGCUAUACCAAAGAAUGCAUCAAGAUAUUAAUCAGCAACUAUAGAAAAGAAUACAUCGAAGCCCAGGUUCCCACACUACCUACCUAAAUCAUCAUUCAUUCAUUACUCUGCCUCGAGAGGGCUCUCGGGGGUAUCAUUUAUAAGGGCACUAAUCCCAUUUGUGAGGGCUCUACCCUCAUGACCUGAUCACCUCCCAAAGGCCCCACCCCCUAAUAUUGUCACAUUAGUCAUUAAGAUUUAAUAUAUAUAUAUUUGGGAGUUGGGGACAAAACAUUCAGUCUAUAGCACCGUUUUACAGAGGAGGAAACUGAGACUCUAUGAGGGCAGGUAAUGUGCCCGAAGUAACAGAAUUUAUUCGGGACAGAACUGGAAGGCAAGAGAACUCAGGACAGCCAACUAUGUGUUUUUAUCAAACAUCAUACUAAACUACCAACUUCUGUGGUAUUUAGAGACCAAGCCGUAAGGACAGGCUCUUAGAGAUAAUUUAUGUGGCAACUCUUCUCUAGAAAUUAUACAAAGAUAUUAUAAUAGGAGGGAUAUUGAAUAGGAUUUGGCAGCCGUGAUUUGCUAUUAUAGUGUUUUAUUGAAAACAAUUCAUUUUAUUUAAGACUUACUUCCAAAAUCCUUAGCCUGAUUAAUGACAACCUUCUGAAAUGAUUUUUUUAAAAUAAAAAAGAUUUUGCUUCCUGAAAAAUUCACAUAAUAUAGUCUGUGACUGAUCACCACAGUCAUAUAUUUAGAUCCACAAUUACUAGAUACAAAUAAAAGAGAGCUGGAGAGAAGAUAACAUAAAUGCUUUAAAUCAGGAAAGGAAAAGACCUCUCUAAUCAAUGUCUUGCAGAAUCAUUAACCAAAGUCCUAAACUGAAGUUCAAAUAAUUGAAAAAUGAAAAUGAUCCAUCUACUCUUGACAGGGAGAUUGCAGUCUUAUAAAAAAGUUGAAUGCAUCUGUGGAUGAAAAGAAUUGACACCACCAUUUGGUAAUUGGCUAAAUAACAGUCAUAAACAAAUGGAAAAAAUAACCAAAUUGAGAAUAGAAGUCAGAAUUUUCCCCAUCUUCUUUAAGAGGUCACAAUACUUUGAUCUAGAAUUUUGAUCGCUAAAAUCACCAGGUAUGUGGAAGAGCACCGCCUAUGGUAAAAAGCAUUAUAAUCAUCCAUCGUCUCUCUGUCCAUUCAUUCACCCCAUCAUCCAUCCAUCCAUUCAUCUAUCCAUCCACUAGGUUGAACAACAUGAAGUUGCCAUUGUUUGAUCAUUUUUGACUUCUAAGAAAAGCAACUUCCUGUGGUUCAGUAUAAAAUAUUCAAUUAAUACUUAUUGAAUGUGCCACCAUGUUCAGUGCACUAUGCAAGGUUUGGGGAGUGAGGAUUGCGUAAGAAAUACUCCCCAUCUUUACAAAUCUCCACUAGGAGAAACGCACACCAAUUACUCUUUAUAAGAGGGUUAAGGAUCUGGUGUUGCUACAGCUGUGGUGCAGGUCGAAACUGAGGCACAGAUUCAGCCCCUGGCCUGGGAACUUCCACAUGCAGCAGGUGCUAUAGGAUUAUAUUGAUGUGCUGUAUAUGCAUAGAAAGAACAUACAGAAAAUUGUGAGUUGGGGAGUCCCCUUAUGGUGCAGUAGGUUAAGAACCUGGCAUUGUCAGGAAUUCCUGUCGUGGUGCAGGGGAAACAAAUCUGACU